AAAUUGAAGAGUUUGAUCAUGGCUCAGAUUGAACGCUGGCGGCAGGCCUAACACAUGCAAGUCGAACGGUAACAGGAAGCAGCUUGCUGCUUUGCUGACGAGUGGCGGACGGGUGAGUAAUGUCUGGGAAGCUGCCUGAUGGAGGGGGAUAACUACUGGAAACGGUGGCUAAUACCGCAUAACGUCGCAAGACCAAAGAGGGGGACCUUCGGGCCUCUUGCCAUCAGAUG
rnacentral:rRNA from 1 species